AAGACGACGACUCAGACUCAUCGAUGCGGUCUUCGGUCCAAGUAAGAGUUCGUGAAUUUUCUUUUAAUUUUUUUUUUUUAAUGAGAACGAAGAAAGCGACGUUGAUUUUUUGACUUUCAGACAAAUUAACGGCGAGACAAAGGUACCCUGAAAGGCGGCUGGCGGCUGUCUGAAUCUAAGCCGAUGCCACGUGGCAAGGAGCCAUGAAUAACACUGUUGCCGUUUGGAGAGGCGUUAAAGUUCCGUGAUGCUUUACCAAGGAGAUACGUCAAGAUGAUGAUUUAUUUUUUAGAGG
rnacentral:lncRNA from 1 species